CAGAGCCAAUGAUGAGUAGAGUUAUCCCUGUCUGAAAAAUCAGUUGUGGAGAACUGUGGAGUACUGAGGGCUCUG